UAUGUGUGUAUGUUGUUACUGUAUGUUUACUUUAUCAGUUGUAAUGUAGGAUAACGAGACGUGUUGAGGUGAAGUAUUCUAAAAAGUAUUUUUUUCUUUCUCUAGUUGAAGCCUCUUUUUAAUCAUGCCGGGAACAAAAAUUGCGGAUGAAGAUCGGAAGAAAAUCGAUAAGAAAUUCAUCUGUACCAGUUGUAACAUGUUGUUGUGCAUUCCCAUGCAAACUCAAUGUGGACACUUGAUGUGUUCUGCUUGUCUGCAAACAUUGCUAGAG
rnacentral:lncRNA from 1 species